rnacentral:tRNA from 1 species
GCGGACUUAGCUCAGUUGGGAGAGCGCCAGACUGAAGAAAAAAACUUUGGUCAAGAUAUCUGGAGGUCCUGUGUUCGAUCCACAGAGUUCGCA